GCCGUCCUGGCCCAAUCGGCAGAGGCGCCGCGUUCAGGGCGCGGAAGAUCCGGGUUCGAAUCCCGGGGGCGGCACCA
rnacentral:tRNA from 1 species